rnacentral:rRNA from 1 species
ACGAGACCUCAGCCUGCUAACUAGUUACGCGAAGGAUCCUCUUCGUGGCC